GAAGUACCUGAACCUAAAGUGACCGAAGCACCAGAAGUAAAACCCGCCAAGAAAACUCCUGCAGUUCCUGAACCGAGAGAGGGGAAGAAACCAUCACCAGAGCCAAAGCCCUCAGUUCCUCCUCAAAAAGUUUCAGAGGAGAAGAAGCCAUCCGUAUCUGUACCAG